AUGCUAACUGUUUUCCACCUGCCUGGGUCCCUGCCUUGUCCAGGGACCCCCCUGAAGGGGUUUGUCUUUGAAGUCAUGGAACUCAUUCACAGCCUGAAGGCACUUCAGCUGGGAAGAGCCGGCCAUCCUGCUCCAGAUGUUUUGAUCCAGCUGAUCCCAAACAGCGCCAGAACAGCGAAUCUUCCCUCAGCCUCUUCCCCUGAGACCUUGGGCCAAGCACUCAGUGUAAUUCGUGCCUGGACUGACCUGCGACUGCUUAUCCCAGUGGUCAUCCCAAGCCUGGGCAACAGAGUGAAACUCCAUCUCAAAAAAAAGAAAAAGAAGAGAAAGUUGGCAGGAACAGAGACAGAAGUAAAGGGCAGAGAAUGUUCAGAGAAACGGUGUCCACCACAAACGGCUCACUAGUGACCAAGCACCCUAUUACCAGCACCCAGCUCACGGCCCGGCUGCACCAGGAAUCCCGUUUGCCGGUAUUCACCCAAGCAGCACGCCCUGUAAAACCUCCCCCUGGCCCCUGCCACUUGGCAGAAAGGUCUUCCUCUUCUGUGUUGCCCGCCGCUCCCUUGCAACGUAUAUCCCCUUUUUCUCUAAUAAAUCUGCCUUUCUGAACUCAUUCCUGUCUUGGUAAAUUCUUUACCACCUGUGUGCCAGCCUCAGGCAGUUGUUGACCAGAGCAAUUCCUAUAUCCCCCCGUUGCCGGUA
rnacentral:lncRNA from 1 species